ensembl:lncRNA LINC01378 long intergenic non-protein coding RNA 1378
UGGCAAAAUGGAUCUCAUGAACUACUGUGUGUUCCCCACUUAACUCAUCUUCAAAACCAAGCCAGUCUACUGAAUCUACCACAAUCAUCAGCAUUCUAAGAUUCAGCUGAGGACAAGACCCUGGCACUUAAUAGAAUAGAAGUGACUGAAAAUUGAAUGAUGAUA